UACACACUAGUUUAUCUUAACAAUUUUGUGGAAGGAUGCGUUGCCAUGCUCAAAAUCAUGGAGUCAUGCUGUAGUGUGAAGGACAAGUAUUUGAAGCAUAUGGAAAUGUUUGGGUUCAAAAUUUGAACUAUUUUGCAAUUUUCUUUGGCCGGAAAUUGAGAAGAUCAGAUUGAUACAAUGGCUAAGCAUAGAAUUUGCAACAUUGUUUGCCGCAGUCAUGCACCCAGUCAUCUUCAAUGCAAAAGACAUAUGGAAUCUCAGGAUACAUACGUUCUAAGACAGAAAAAUGGAUGUGCACUCUAGGCUCGUGAGAAAGGACAAAGCAAUACCAAAGUGGUGGUUUUUCAUGAUUCUUGCCUUGACUUUAACAGUCACCAUUACAUUCUGUGAUUCGUUUAAGGAUCAACGUCAAUUGCAGUGGUGGGGAGUGCUCCUUUCAUGUGGCCUUGCCAUAUUCUUCGCUCUACCAAAUGGCAUUAUAAAGGCUACUAUUGAUAAGUUAUCAAAGUCUUGCAUUUUGAAGAAGAUAAUGGUGAUCAUGUUGCAAAUUCUUGCAUAAAUGUACAUUCUUCUCUAUACUUGCAAAUCAGCGCAUCUUCCACGACCGCCUCAUAUCCCUUCCUACAGUUUGAUCUAUGUAAUACCGUAGAUGUGUGGCAGAUAUAUUCCCAAAUAUCAAUGCAAGAGAAUGCACAUAAAACUAUAGCUCUGUCAGUUCAUUGCAGGGAUAUGGGGUUUUCAAGGAUCAGAUGGAAUUUGUUAAUAACCCACAUGCCUUGACGUUUGGAUGUGGCAAAUGUUGAGAGAGUUAUGUAGUGUCUAGAAGCCUCUGGCAUAGGUUUUCCUGUUUUGCAUUUUUCAUCACAGGGGGAGCAAAAAAAAGAAGACUGUGUUGUGUAGUAGCAGAUAGCUCCAGAUUCAUGUACAUUUUUGGUUUUGGCUCAAGAGGUGUUA